rnacentral:rRNA from 1 species
CCUACGGGUGGCAGCAGUGAGGAAUUUUGCGCAAUGGGCGAGAGCCUGACUCAGCAACGCCGCGUGAGCGAGGCGCCCUUCAUGGUGUAAAGUUCUGUCAGUCGGGGCGGCAAAUGACGGUACCCACAGCGGAAGCACCGGCUAACUACGUACCAGCAGCCGCGGUAAUACGGCGGGUGCCGGCGUUGUCCGGAAUCAUUGGGCGUAAAGAGUUCGUAGGCGGCAUGUAAAGUCAGGUGGUAAAGGCGCAGGCUCAACCUGCGUAUGGCAGUUGAUACGUGCAAGCUGGAAUGCGGGAGAGGUAAAGGGAAUUCCUGGUGUAGCGGUGAAAUGCGUAGAUAUCAGGAGGAACAUCGGUGGCGUAAGCGCUUUACCGGGCCGCAAUUGACGCUGAGGAACGAAAGCGAGGGUAGCAAAUGGGAUUAGAUACCCCGGUAGUC